rnacentral:rRNA from 1 species
GACGAACGCUGGCGGCGUGCUUAACACAUGCAAGUCGAACGAUGAAACCUAGCUUGCUAGGUCGAUUAGUGGCGAACGGGUGAGUAACACGUGACUAACCUGCCCCUUUCUCUGGGAUAACGCUCCGAAAGGAGUGCUAAUACCGGAUACUCACAUCGAGGCACAUGCCUUGGUGUGGAAAGUUUUUCGGAAAGGGAUGGAGUCGCGGCCUAUCAGCUUGUUGGUGAGGUAACGGCUCACCAAGGAGAGGACGGGUAGCCGGCCUGAGAGGGCUACCGGCCAAACUGGGACUGAGACACGGCCCAGACUCCAACGGGAGGCAUCAGUGGGGAAUAUUGCACAAUGGGCGCAAGCCUGAUGCAGCGACGCCGCGUGAGGGAUGAAGGUCUUCGGAUUGUAAACCUCUUUCAGUAGGGACGAAGCGAAAGUGACGGUACCUAAAGAAGAAGCACCGGCUAACUACGUGCCAGCCGCCGCAGUAA